rnacentral:misc_RNA from 1 species
GAAAGAUUUGUUUUUAGAGUUUUUAGAGGGAAUGGGGUUUUGAUAAUAUUUUGAUUUUAGAUUUUUAGGUUUUAUAAUUAUGAGAGAAAAAUUUUUGUUAAUUUAAGUUAUUUAGUUUAUUUUAUUUUGUUAGAGUAGAUAUAGAAAAUUUAUAUAGAGUUUUAGGUUUUGGACGGUUUUUGGUUUAAUAUAUUGUUGGGUUGAAUGAAUG